UUCUGCAGAUGCAUUGAGUGUGUCGGUCCCUCUGCCCAAAGUUCCCAACAUCAGCCUCAGGAACGCCAAGGUUGACAUCACCGACGCAGACAGCUCUGCCGACCAGACCCGUCUGGACGAUUCCUGCCCCAGCGGACCCUUGUCCCUGCUCCCCUUCCAAGACCGACAGCACCCCAUGAGCUCCAGCCCCCUGCUUGCCUCCAUGUUCCCUUGAGCGCUGCCCUGGGUCGCUGCUGCGGCCCAAGAGCGAUGUGCAGCCAGCUCCAGUCAGUGGGUCCUGGCAUAGCCUGGCGUCAGGGUAGGGAAAACUGCUCUGCUGGUGGAUGCUGGGGGGGUCUGCGGCCACUUAUAACACCCCUGGUGGGGAAGCAGAGCUCUGCCUUGGCUCUGAAGGCUGCUCUCCUACUGCUCUUCCAAUAAAGCCUUCCUCUGCCUCAGU